UACGUAGGGUGCAAGCGUUGUCCGGAAUUAUUGGGCGUAAAGAGCUCGUAGGCGGUCUGUCACGUCGGCUGUGAAAACCUGGGGCUCAACCCCGGGCCUGCAGCCGAUACGGGCAGACUAGAAUUCGGUAGGGGAGACUGGAAUUCCUGGUGUAGCGGUGAAAUGCGCAGAUAUCAGGAGGAACACCGGUGGCGAAGGCGGGUCUCUGGGCCGAUAUUGACGCUGAGGAGCGAAAGCGUGGGGAGCGAACAGG
rnacentral:rRNA from 1 species